CAUAAGGCCUUUACUCAAGGCCAUAACCAACAUUCAAUAAAAUAAUAU
rfam:Solanum lycopersicum cultivar Heinz 1706 chromosome 10, whole genome shotgun sequence.